rnacentral:rRNA from 1 species
UACGAAGGGGGCUAGCGUUGCUCGGAAUCACUGGGCGUAAGCGCACGUAGGCGGAUUGCUAAGUCAGGGGUGAAAUCCUGGAGCUCAACUCCAGAACUGCCUUUGAUACUGGCGAUCUUGAGUCCGGGAGAGGUGAGUGGAACUGCGAGUGUAGAGGUGAAAUUCGUAGAUAUUCGCAAGAACACCAGUGGCGAAGGCGGCUCACUGGCCCGGUACUGACGCUGAGGUGCGAAAGCGUGGGGAGCAACAGG